UUUAUUGAUAACUAGUCAUCGUCUUCUUCAUUGAGCAGCGUUAGGGUUUGCAGAGUUGUUCUUUCCCUCCAUCUCCCAUCGUAGUGUCAUUAUUUUCUGCUAAAACACCUCACACUUUUGCAAUUCACCUCGUAGAUUCGUUUUUGCAACUCACCAAAUUUACCGUACCGUGCUGGGCCUCGUUGCGAACCUUUUUCAUUCUAACUAAAUUGGAACUUAUGGGUCACGAAGAAGAGAAUAAUAGUAGCAGUGUGAAGAAAAUAAUUUCACCAUGCGAUGUUGAGGCUUUAAAAAAGUGUUUGGAAGAGAACAAGGGUGACUAUGUUAAAUGCCAGUCACAAAUUGAGGCUUUUAAAUCAUCAUGCUCACUCAAGAAACCAAAUCAUUCUCCUGAAGGGAAAUAAAAAUUUAUGAAAUUUGAGCCUCUUUAAAGGUAUUAUAAAGUUGUAUUAAUUUGUAACAAAAUGAAAUGUUCUCGAGUUGUAGCUUUUUAAGGAUAAUAAAUUUUACGAAAGAGUUUCGAUGAUACUAGUGAUUGUUAACGGUUAAGAAUGAGAGUCAACACUAUGCUGAAGAGUAGUGAUGUUUUUGCCACAAUUUUGUAUGGAGUUUCCCGCUGAUUUACUCUGUCUAGGUUUGUGUCCGUGCAAUGAAAUUAUGAUAUUUCCUGUGUUUAUCUAAUUGUUUAAUUGAGUAUUAACGUGGUUGAACUGUUUUUGCUCC